UACAGAGGUCUCAAGCGUUGUUCGGAUUCAUUGGGGCGUAAAGGGUGCGUAGGCGGCGCGGUGAAGUCGGGUGUGAAAUCAUCGGAGCUUAACUCCGAAACUGCAUUCGAUACUGCCGUGGCUUGAGGACUGGAGAGGAGACUGGAAUUUACGGUGUAGCGGUGAAAUGCGUAGAUAUCGUAAGGAAGACCAGUGGCGGAGGCGGGUCU
rnacentral:rRNA from 1 species